CCUACGGGUGGCUGCAGUGGGGAAUAUUGGACAAUGGGCGAAAGCCUGAUCCAGCAAUACCGCGUGUGUGAAGAAGGCCUGAGGGUUGUAAAGCACUUUUAAUAGGGAGGAACACCUGUAGGCUAAUACCCUGCAGUAUGACAUUACCUAUAGAAAAAGCACCGGCUAACUCCGUGCCAGCAGCCGCGGUAAUACGGAGGGUGCAAGUGGUAAUCGGAAUUACUGGGCGGAAAGCGUGAGUAGGAUGUGACAGCCCCGGGCUUAACCUGGGAACUGCAUUUGAUCCUGGGUAACUCGAGUUUAGUAGAGGAGAGUGGAAUUUCAGGUGUAGCGGUGAAAUGCGUAGAGAUCUGAAGGAACACCAGUGGCGAAGGCGACUCUCUGGACUAAAACUGACGCUGAGGUACGAAAGCGUGGGUAGCAAACAGGAUUAGAUACCCUGGUAGUC
rnacentral:rRNA from 1 species